rnacentral:rRNA from 1 species
CCUACGGGAGGCAGCAGUGAGGAAUAUUGGUCAAUGGACGAGAGUCUGAACCAGCCAAGUAGCGUGAAGGAUGACUGCCCUAUGGGUUGUAAACUUCUUUUAUAUGGGAAUAAAACGUUCCACGUGUGGGCUUUUGUAUGUACCAUAUGAAUAAGGAUCGGCUAACUCCGUGCCAGCAGCCGCGGUAAUACGGAGGAUCCGAGCGUUAUCCGGAUUUAUUGGGUUUAAAGGGAGCGUAGAUGGGUUGUUAAGUCAGUUGUGAAAGUUUGCGGCUCAACCGUAAAAUUGCAAUUGAUACUGGCAGUCUUGAGUACAGUUGAGGUAGGCGGAAUUCGUGGUGUAGCGGUGAAAUGCUUAGAUAUCACGAAGAACUCCGAUUGCGAAGGCAGCUUACUAAACUGCCACUGACAUUGAUGCUCGAAAGUGUGGGUAUCAAACAGGAUUAGAUACCCCAGUAGUC